AUCAACUAGGAAUACCAAAGGAGACCACCUGGGACCGAAAUGAGACAGGACUGGAACAACUACAAGAACCCACCAGGUCACCGAUAAUCAAGUGAGAUGUCAAGAGAAAUGAACAAGCUGAUGUGCUUGGAUAUCAAUUUAACAAGCGAGUGGGCCAAGGCAGUGACAACCACACAGACGCUGACCGAUCACCUAUCUUCCUGCAGUUUAUUGACUGUGUCUGGCAAAUGAUGAGAAAG